AUAAAAAACCAACGCCCUUCGGGGCUCCUUGGUGAGUCAUAAUAACUUAACGAAUCGCAUGGCCUUGCGCCGGCGAUGGUUCAUUCAAAUUUCUGCCCUAUCAACUUUCGAUGGUAGGAUAGUGGCCUACCAUGGUGGCAACGGGUAACGGGGAAUUAGGGUUCGAUUCCGGAGAGGGAGCCUGAGAAACGGCUACCACAUCCAAGGAAGGCAGCAGGCGCGCAAAUUACCCAAUCCCGAUACGGGGAGGUAGUGACAAUAAAUACUGAUACGGGGCUCUUUUGGGUCUCGUAAUUGGAAUGAGAACAAUUUAAAUCCCUUAACGAGGAACAAUUGGAGGGCAAGUCUGGUGCCAGCAGCCGCGGUAAUUCCAGCUCCAAUAGCGUAUAUUAAAGUUGUUGCAGUUAAAAAGCUCGUAGUUGAACCUUGGGUCUGGCUGGCCGGUCCGCCUCACCGCGAGUACUGGUCCGGCUGGACCUUUCCUUCUGGGGAACCCCAUGGCCUUCACUGGCUGUGG
rnacentral:rRNA from 1 species